UUAAAAGAACUGCCAGCUGAAUUUACUUUUGCAGAGGAGAGCACGGACAAAAUUGCGGUCGGGUUCUUUAAGGCAAAGCACGUGACGCUCCGUGCCUCAGAAGCGGAAGGCGAUGGGGGAAAUUGUGGAAUUGCUAAUGUGACUUUAGAAGAACAGACGUUGCCUUUCGUAAGGUUGUUGUCGCCGAGAGCGCUCUCUAAACAUCAGGACUUAUUCAAAAUGAACUGGAUGGAUUAAAACUGCUUACAAUUUGGGAAAUCUUUCCGGGAAGGGUUAAACUGUACUGCUAGCGCACGUGGAGCAGAAUCCACUCCCAGUAGCGUCCUACCAUUUCAGGCUCACUGAUCGCCAGCAGCGAGAGAACCUGGGACCCUUAAGCUGUAGAUUACAGCAGCGAUGCUUACAAGCACAUGCAGGGACAAUGAGGAUGACCAAAAAAACCCUGUGAAAAACAGAGACCUUGGUACAGUGGGUAUCUAACAUCACUUGUACACAUGAAACAAAAUACUUAACAAGGUAUCCUUCUAACAUAUCCUUUACAGAGCAAUUUUCUAAACAUCGAAGUCUGGAUUCACCUAUUUUGCUAAACCAAGGUUAUACAACUUCUUCAGAUAUUAUUAUUAUUAUUAAUAUACUUCCACGCCUUAUAUUUAACAUUUUCCACGUUAUUUCAUUGAAAAAUGCAGUAUUGUGGCAAAAUUUGAAAGGGAUCUAGGGCCUGAGUUGUGUACCCCUACACUAAACCAAAAUCAAGCAAAUCCCAUUAUAGUUUAGUUUGAUAUAUGAACCCAGCACAUUUGAGUACGCUUCUACUUUCUGCACAUUAUGUGAACCUAUUUAAACAUCCUUCAGUUCCAAUAUAUUGUAAUCAAAUAAUACAUGACACUUUGGUCCUAAUUCCACUAAUGCUUACAAACAUGCUAACUUGCUUUGAGAAUAGUCUUGUUUUUGUAUGAAACUGUUCAGUUUAAAGUUUCACUUCUAAAAUCUGGUAAUUAAAAUUAUCACCACUGUUUUUUUGUUCUGCUCUGAGACUAAUCAAAUAAAGGCAGUUGAAAAAAGCUUGCAUAAAAGCAUGCCUGUUCCAGAAGCGUUACUGUUUGGGGAUGACAGAAUUAUGCAGGUGACUGGUAUUAGCAUUAUUAUGUUAGAUAUUUCAGUACAAUUUUUCAUUAGUUGUCUAAGAGCUAAGGGAGAGGGCAUGGUUAAGGUAUACAGUGGAACCUCGGGUUACGAAUUUAAUUCAUUCCGUGACUCUGGUCGUACC